ensembl:lncRNA
AUUUCUCCACGGCCUGUUGGAAUUUCACAGUCGAGAAGACAGUAGACGGCCUGGGGUCCAGAGGCCCGGUGAGGGCCGGGAAACGGACCUCUGUGCUCCCGGGAGGGCAGGCCAGGUCCUGUCCCUACACGUGGGCAGAGGCUCCAGCGACCGGACAGAAACAGAGGCUGUCCAGGCAGCUCCGCUCUGCAGUGAAAUCAGCGUCCUCAGUUCCGCUGCUUCCUGGAGGACGGAGGGAAAUGCUGCGGCCCAGCUUCCUGCGCACAGACUUGCUCUUUUCUUUCCUUUUUCUGUCAUAAUAAUAUGACUUCUUGGGAAAGCUCAUUUACAUUGACUUUGGGUUUUAUUCGUUUAUUCGGGCCUGUUUCGUUUAUUUAUCCACCAUCUUCCAGCAAGUGUUUAUUGACAGCCUCCUCUGAGCCCCGGGGAUGGAGGUUUGAGUGGGGAGACCGGUUCUCGCCCUCAGAGGGUGAAGUCUCCAGGAGACUCAGUGCACAAGUAAAUGAAGAACAAGGUGGAUGAAGGGGUCAAGCCUGCCGUAUGGGGGGUCACCGGGGAGUUGGGAUAAAGGGAAUCGAGGCCGUGUUAGACGGGGAGGGGAGGGCCGGCCUCCCUGGAGAGGUGACCUUUGAGCUGAGGGGACACCGAGAAGAUUCCAGCCAGGCACAGGCCGCCAGGAGAGCGUUCCAGACAAAGGGCACAGUUCGUGCAAAGGCCUGGAGGCAGGACUGGGCUGGACAAGCGCAGGGAACAGAGAAGAGGCUGCAGACUGUGGUGGUGGGGGAGGGUGCACUGCAGGGAGGCAGGAAGGGGGGCGAGCCCCAGGUACAGGGCAAGGCCCUGGGGUUCUCGUGGAGAAUGGUGGCAAGUGAUUGGAGGGGUCUGCGGAUCUGCAUUCCUGAACAGUCUUGGCUGCUGGUGAAAUGGACGGUGAGGCCAAGUGGAAGCCGGGCCUCCAGGCCCAUCCUGGGUCUACGAGACGUGUGGCCUUGAGCAAACUCAUCUUCCCUGAGCCUUGGUGUCCGCACCUGUGGCGUGAAGGGAUCGCGAUGGAGGGUUGGAUAGGAUGACAUCUGUGGUGGAGCCCAGCACACAGCGUCAGGCCUUCUGUAACUGUAGCGGGUGGACACUGACCUUCCCAGACUCAUGCCCCUGACCCAGGACGCAACUCAGGCCAGAAUAACGAGCCUGUGUGUUGGCCUGGGACACACGCUCGUGUAACACGACCCCUUUCACCAGCCCUUCACCUCACGACUGUUCACGAUUCCUCACAUGUGUGAGCAGGGGCCGUGCUGUUGGGACUGGAGUGCUCAUUACAUCUCACCUGGGAAAGUAAUGCCACCCAAAACCAACGUCGAAUGAGGUGGUGACGCUGCGAGCAAACGCCUGCUUACUCGUUCAACAGCAAUACCGGAAAUGGCUGAAAACACACAGUUUGCCUUCUAACGCAAUUCUGGAAGCUGGCCCCUCUGAACUCCAACCCCCGGGCUGGGUUCAUUCGAAACCAUGACCCCCCCCCCAAGGUCGCUCAGUGAGGGGGUUAAAACGUGACACCAGGAGGCGGCAGACGCACAAAUCCGGAAUGCGGGGUGUCCCACAGGCAGCUGAUCCUGGGAACUCUACAUGACGUGAGAAGGAAAGUGAGGGGCGUGGAUCACCUCCACCGGAGACGGCAGAGCCUUCACGACCAAGGACGGGGCCUUGUUCGAAUCCUGAUUCCGGAAAAGCAAUGAGAGGAAGACAUUUGCCAGACAAGUGGGGAAGUUUGAACUUUAGAAGUGACAAGGACGCUGCAGCUAUGGUAGAAGACAUCCACGUGAGGAAUUCGUGUUGGUGAAGAAGUAAAUUAUGAACCUUGGAUGGAAAACAGCUGCGUGUGUCCUCGGCCGUAAACGCAGAUCUCCUGAGCCGGUUAAUUGGACGAUGACAGACUCUGCCAGCUGUCUCACCGGGGCAUGCCCUCCUUUCUCACCAGCAGGACCCUGAUGGUCACAUGCUCCCUGAACCUUGUCCAGCCCCCUGCUGUCACGCCCCGUGACACCGUGCUAGGCAGGAGGGGGAACCGGAGUCUCCCUACCUCAGCCUCUUCCUCCCUCUCGCCUCCUCCUCCCUCCGAGUCCUUGGCGAUUCUCGGGCAGCGUGGUGUGGUCCUGCACGUCCCCUUCGCGGAGGGAACAUCUCCUGUGCGUCCCCCAGCAUCCACUCCCCUCCUUGUAUGAACAGACCCGACUGCAUGUGAGAAUUCACUUUCCUGCCUCAGUCCCUGUGUUUGGGGUGAGCUGACCCUGAGCCCCAGGCCCCGGGGAGCACACGAGCCAGGCCUGGCUGAGCCCCUACUGCCCAGCCCCGGACAGUGAUGGGCUCGGUGACAGGAGGGACCUAAACGGGCCCGUUGGUGACUCUGGGGCUCUUGGGGCAUCCCACUCUUGUCCCCGGCCUUGGACCUGAGCGCUGUGGGGCUGGAGCUGCGGUGGGUGGGUGCGUGGGGCACCUGCAGCUGCUGGGCCCUGAAUGGAGCCUCGGGUGGGGCAGGGUAGGGGAACAUGGGAGACCAGCAAAGUCCGGGGGACAUCUGAGCGCUCAGACCCAGCUCUGCCUGAAGACCAGGCCCCACUGCACCAGCCUGCUAAUGCCCCUGGCCUGAGCCACCUGAGUCUGUCACUUGUCACCAGGAGAAUCUCACAUGAACCAUGAUAAGGUUCAAUUUUGGGCAGAAACCCCCCUGGCCCCUUGGGAAACCUCCAACCUGUC